rnacentral:tRNA from 1 species
GCGUGUGGCUUAGUGGUCAGGGCAUCCGGCUCACGAUCGGAACGUCGUGAGUUCAAUUCCCAACGACGCG